GCGGUUCUAGUACAUCGGUAGUAUACGACCUUCCCAAGGUUGAGAGGCGGGUUCGAUUCCCGUGAGCCGCU
rnacentral:tRNA from 1 species